GGCUGGUCUGAAGGUAGUGAAUUGUCUCAGUUAAUUGUUCACAGUCAGUUACAGAUUGAGCUCCCUCUUUCUUCUUUCCCUUCUCACUACUGCACUUGAUAGUCUUUA
ensembl:misc_RNA Y_RNA Y RNA